UACAGAGGGGGCAAGCGUUGUUCGGAAUUACUGGGUGUAAAGGGUUCGUAGGCGGUGUAGCAAGUCGGGAGUGAAAUCUCUGGGCUUAACCCAGAGGCUGCUUCCGAAACUGCUGUGCUUGAGUGUGGGAGAGGCGCGUGGAAUUGCAGGUGUAGCGGUGAAAUGCGUAGAUAUCUGCAGGAACACCCGUGACGAAAGCGGCGCGCUGGGCCACUACUGACGCUGAGGAACGAAAGCUAGGGGAGCAAACAGG
rnacentral:rRNA from 1 species